GCGAAGCGUGGGGAGCAAACAGGAUUAGAUACCUGGUAGUCACGCUGUAAACGAUGUCGAUUUGGAGGUUGUUCCCUUGAGGAGUGGCUUCCGGAGCUAACGCGUUAAAUCGACCGCUGGGGAGUACGGCCGCAAGGUUAAAACUCAAAUGAAUUGACGGGGGCCCGCACAAGCGGUGGAGCAUGUGGUUUAAUUCGAUGCAACGCGAAGAACCUUACCUACUCUUGACAUCCAGAGAAUUUAGCAGAGAUGCUUUAGUGCCUUCGGGAACUCUGAGACAGGUGCUGCAUGGCUGUCGUCAGCUCGUGUUGUGAAAUGUUGGGUUAAGUCCCGCAACGAGCGCAACCCUUAUCCUUUGUUGCCAGCACGUUAUGGUGGGAACUCAAAGGAGACUGCCGGUGAUAAACCGGAGGAAGGUGGGGAUGACGUCAAGUCAUCAUGGCCCUUACGAGUAGGGCUACACGUGCUACAAUGGCGUAUACAAAGAGAAGCGACCUCGCGAGAGCAAGCGGAACUCAUAAAGUACGUCGUAGUCCGGAUUGGAGUCUGCAACUCGACUCCAUGAAGUCGGAAUCGCUAGUAAUCGUAGAUCAGAAUGCUACGGUGAAUACGUUCCCGGGCCUUGUACACACCGCCCGUCACACCAUGGGAGUGGGUUGCAAAAGAAGUAGGUAGCUUAACCUUCGGGAGGGCGCUUACCACUUUGUGAUUCAUGACUGGGGUGAAGUCGUAACAAGGUAACCA
rnacentral:rRNA from 1 species